AUAAUAAUUCUACUUCUCAGAAAAUGCGAAAACCCAAUUCUCUUCAAAUUUCGCACAUACCAAUAUUUUUAUUAACAAAAUAUCAGGUGCGAAGAUGGGAUAUAUCUGCCCAACCCUUCUGAUAACUCCCCUUCAAAAGGUCACAAUUGUCAGUAUUUUUAUAUGUUCUAACUUUCGAAACAUGUCAGCAAUUUUUUUCAAACAUGGCAUAUCUAAAUAUAUCUCUCAACCAGGGAUCUGAUGUGAAUAAGGGAUCUAUGGGCCCACACUUUGCGUUACCUUCCCCACAAUCGUUGAAUAUUUUGAUUAUGAUUUAUUCGCUUUAAAUUGGAAAUAAAUAUUCGAACUUCUUGCUAUAUAAAUGUUUUCAUUUCACAAUUUUAUAGAACUGGCAUUGAGCCCCUGCUUUAUAUAUUUUGGAACCGUUGCUUUUUUGGCAAGCAUCACCAAUUAACCUGAAUUUGGCGGGUGACUUUAUUUCAAUAAGAUAAAGAACGGAACGAAAAACUUAAUAUACCUUCCAUGUUGUAGUGGAGGGAAAUUGCACUGGCGAUAAUCUUUUCUAGUACUGCUGCACUAUAUUAUCUGUGCCCCAAAUGAUACUUCGACUUAAGAAGCGGGAUUUUAAUUUUUAUUGUUUUCAAUAUACAUAUUUAGCUUUAGCAUUGCAUCUGUAUACAUUUUCU